rnacentral:rRNA from 1 species
ACUAAAUAGAUACCCCGGUAGUCCACGCCCUAAACGAUGUCUACUAGUUGUUGGUGGAGUAAAAUCCAUGAGUAAACGCAGCUAAACGCGUGAAGUAGACCGCCUGGGGAGUACGGUCGCAAGAUUAAAACUCAAAGGAAUUGACGGGGGCCCGGCACAAGCGGUGGAUUAUGUGGAUUAAUUCGAUGCAACGCGAAAAACCUUACCUGGCCUUGACAUGCCACUAACGAAGCAGAGAUGCAUUAGGUGCCCGUAAGGGAAAGUGGACACAGGUGCUGCAUGGCUGUCGUCAGCUCGUGUCGUGAGAUGUUGGGUUAAGUCCCGCAACGAGCGCAACCCUUGCCAUUAAUUGCCAUCAUUUAGUUGGGCACUUUAAUGGGACUGCCGGUGACAAACCGGAGGAAGGUGGGGAUGACGUCAAGUCCUCAUGGCCCUUAUGGCCAGGGCUUCACACGUAAUACAAUGGUCGGUACAGAGAGUUGCCAACCCGCGAGGGGGAGCUAAUCUCAGAAAGCCGAUCGUAGUCCGGAUUGUUCU